GGCAAGAUGGCCGAGCGGUCUAUGGCGUGUGACUCAAGCGAUUAGCUUGCCUGUACAAGCAGGUUUCUCAUCAUCGAAAGAUGGCGGGGGUUCGAAUCCCCCUCUUGUCA
rfam:Pleurotus ostreatus PC15 unplaced genomic scaffold scaffold_08, whole genome shotgun sequence.